rnacentral:rRNA from 1 species
UACGGAGGAUCCAAGCGUUAUCCGGAUUUAUUGGGUUUAAAGGGUGCGUAGGCGGAUUGAUAAGUUAGAGGUGAAAUGUCCGAGCUCAACUCGGGAACUGCCUCUAAUACUGUUGGUCUAGAGAGUAGAUGCGGUAGGCGGAAUGUAUGGUGUAGCGGUGAAAUGCUUAGAGAUCAUACAGAACACCGAUUGCGAAGGCAGCUUACCAAUCUAUAUCUGACGUCGAGGCACGAAAGCGUGGGGAGCAAACAGG